rnacentral:rRNA from 1 species
GACGAACGCUGGCGGCGUGCCUAAUACAUGCAAGUCGAACGCACUCUCGUUUAGAUUGACGGAGUUUGCUCCUGAUUGAUAAACAUUUGAGUGAGUGGCGGACGGGUGAGUAACACGUGGGUAACCUGCCCUAAAGUGGGGGAUAACAUUUGGAAACAGAUGCUAAUACCGCAUAAAACCUAACACCGCAUGGUGUAGGGUUGAAAGAUGGUUUCGGCUAUCACUUUAGGAUGGACCCGCGGUGCAUUAGUUAGUUGGUGAGGUAAAGGCUCACCAAGACCGUGAUGCAUAGCCGACCUGAGAGGGUAAUCGGCCACACUGGGACUGAGACGCGGCCCAGACUCCUACGGGAGGCAGCAGUAGGGAAUCUUCCACAAUGGACGAAAGUCUGAUGGAGCAACGCCGCGUGAGUGAAGAAGGUUUUCGGAUCGUAAAACUCUGUUGUUGGAGAAGAAUGUAUCUGAUAGUAACUGAUCAGGUAGUGACGGUAUCCAACCAGAAAGCCACGGCUAACUACGUG